rnacentral:rRNA from 1 species
AUUGAACGCUGGCGGCAGGCCUAACACAUGCAAGUCGAACGAGUGGCGGACGGGUGAGUAAUGUCUGGGCAACUGCCCGAUGGAGGGGGAUAACUACUGGAAACGGUAGCUAAUACCGCAUACCAUCGGAUGUGCCCAGAUGGGAUUAGCUAGAAGGUGGGGUAACGGCUCACCUAGGCGACGAUCCCUAGCUGGUCUGAGAGGAUGACCAGCCACACUGGAACUGAGACACGGUCCAGACUCCUACGGGAGGCAGCAGUGGGGAAUAUUGCACAAGGGGCGCAAGCCUGAUGCAGCCAUGCCGCGUGUAUGAAGAAGGCCUUCGGGUUGUAAAGUACUUUCAGCGGGGAGGCGUUACUCGCAGAAGAAGCACCGGCUAACUCCGUGCCAGCAGCCGCGGUAAUAC